rnacentral:rRNA from 1 species
UAUUGGGCGUAAGCGCGCGCAGGUGGUUCUUUAAGUCUGAUGUGAAAGCCCACGGCUCAACCGUGGAGGGUCAUUGGAAACUGGGGAACUUGAGUGCAGAAGAGGAAAGUGGAAUUCCACGUGUAGCGGUGAAAUGCGUAGAGAUGUGGAGGAACACCAGUGGCGAAGGCGACUUUCUGGUCUGUAACUGACACUGAGGCGCGAAAGCGUGGGGAGCGAACAGGAUUAGAUACCCUGGUAGUCCACGCCGUAAACGAUGAGUGCUAAGUGUUAGAGGGUUUCCACCCUUUAGUGCUGCAGCUAACGCAUUAAGCACUCCGCCUGGGGAGUACGGCCGCAAGGCUGAAACUCAAAGGAAUUGACGGGGGCCCGCACAAGCGGUGGAGCAUGUGGUUUAAUUCGAAGCAACGCGAAGAACCUUACCAGGUCUUGACAUCCUCUGACAACCCUAGAGAUAGGGCCUUCCCCUUUUGGGGGACAGAGUGACAGGUGGUGCAUGGUUGUCGUCAGCCCGUGUCGUGAGAUGUUGGGUUAAGUCCCGCAACGAGCGCAACCCUUGAUCUUAGUUGCCAGCAUUCAGUUGGGCACUCUAAGGUGACUGCCGGUGACAAACCGGAGGAAGGUGGGGAUGACGUCAAAUCAUCAUGCCCCUUAUGACCUGGGCUACACACGUGCUACAAUGGAUGGUACAAAGAGCCCGCAAACCCGCGAGGGUAAGCUAAUCUCAUAAAGCCAUUCUCAGUUCGGA